rnacentral:lncRNA from 1 species
GCUAAAUAUCUAACUCUUUUGUCUUACAAUAAUUUUACAUGCCAUUUUCAUAGUUGGCCUGGAGAUUCUGUAGUAUUGGUGCUUGUUUUCUCUUUUGCUGCUGAAUACCAGGAAAAAGCCAAGAGUACCUUUGUUGCCCAGUUAUCUGAUAAAGUCCAGAUGCAUCUGGAAAGCAUUUGGAGUUCAUGGGCAAAUGAAGUAGGUCAUAAAAUAUGAAGAACUCAAGAGAAAAAAUAAACUACCAAGGUUGAAUUAUAAGGUAAGGUCUUAGCUCUUAUCUUUCUUAAUAAUGCCUCCUCUGCUUGCCAUGGCAACCACAUGUGCUGGCAGUUGUUAUGGCAAAGGGAGAGGACUGCAAACAGAAGAGAACUGUAGGAUUCUACAAUGCAAGAAGUUCCAUUUGCGACUGGUGCCUGACAUUUACAAGAUGGUGAUGACAGGGUGCAGCUUUUUGCUAGGGGACAAAGUUCUGCCCCAGCCCAGACUUAAGUGGUUCAUAUGGUGAUUGAUCCCCUGACCUUGGGCUCAUUAACUUUAUCCUCUCAUGAAUGGAAGGAACCAGCUAUAAGGAUCUCUUUGUGAGUACAGUUUUCUUUGUAUUUCUAGAAAUCAGAGCCACUACUACCCAACUUGUGUGUGUGUGUCUUCUGAAGUGUCUAUCCUUUGCUAGACAGUUUCCAGGUGUACAAAAAGUUCCCUGUUUUAAAUAAAGUCACAGCAUGAAAGAAAAAUGUGAAAAGCAUUGUAGUAGUUCUUGAUUGAUAAGAGCAGGUAAUAAAAGUGAGAACUAAGAUGCUUGGAAACUUUGAAGGAAGCAAAUGAUGUGAUUUCACAUCUAAUCCUGUGACAAAGCAUGGGGAUUACUCCAAUCCCGGGGCCUGGAAGAAGAUUCUAUUGUAAGAACUGAAGAUUUCCCUCUUGUUCACCAAGAUCAAAUUUAUCAGCUUCCUUAGUCUAGUUUGGAAACAUUAUCCUUCUAUUUUAGCUGAACCCUUAUGCAGUGCAAGGAAAUUGAGGUGGGCACAUUGAGAGUGGUGGUUUUUCUUGUUUUUACAAAAACACAAGAUUCUCUUUAACAAAUGUUUGGGGAACACCUACUCUGCC